GACGAACGCUGGCGGCGUGCUUAACACAUGCAAGUCGAACGGAGGAUUUAUUUCGGUAAAUCCUUAGUGGCGAACGGGUGAGUAACGCGUGGGCAAUCUGCCCUUCAGAUGGGGACAACAUCCCGAAAGGGGUGCUAAUACCGAAUACGAUCACGCUGCCGCAUGGCGGUGUGAUGAAGGAUGGCCUCUAUUUAUAAGCUAUCGCUGAAGGAUGAGCCUGCGUCUGAUUAGCUAGUUGGUGGGGUAACGGCCUACCAAGGCGAUGAUCAGUAGCCGGUCUGGGAGGAUGAACGGCCACAUUGGGACUGAGACACGGCCCAAACUCCUACGGGAGGCAGCAGUGGGGAAUAUUCCGCAAUGGACGAAAGUCUGACGGAGCAACGCCGCGUGAGUGAUGAAGGUUUUCGGACUGUAAAGCUCUGUUGUUUAGGACGAAAGUGCCUGUUGCGAACAGUUACAGGUAUUGACGGUACUGAACGAGGAAGCCACGGCUAACUACGUGCCAGCCGCCGCCGUAA
rnacentral:rRNA from 1 species